ensembl:lncRNA novel transcript
CCCAAACAGCCUUCUGAGGUUGGUAAGGGUAUUCAGCCAUCUUCGCUUUGCAUAUGAGAAGACAAUCUCAAAGAUUUGAAGUGUCCCAGUGGUAACUGGCAGAAGGAGAACUCUUAGAUCUCCUGACUUGCACAUCCUGUCAUCUGCUGUGUUACAUUCUCAUCUAGAGUCUGCUCUCCACACUUGAUCCUUGCUACCCCUCUACCUGCUGCUGUUCCUCUGAGAGUUCAUCUUGCCUUUAUUUUGAGGGAGGGAGGGGCAAGCCCAGUGUUAGUGUUGAUUUUGCCCUCAAGGACCCUGGCGGGGAAGCAGUAGUGUUCCCAUUGUAGAGGCCAGAAAAGCUGCCCAGUGACACAGCCAGGAUCAGUCAUGGAGCCAUGAUAGGCCAGAGCCUGAGCUCCCAGCCACUGAGGAGGGGUGGCAGAGGAUUGUUUGGCCAGGUCUGUGUGGGCUGAAGGCUUGGUGACCAGGGACGACAUGAUCAUCUGCAAGACCAAUGCUAUCACUGCCCUGAGGAUGUUCUUCCCCCGAAAGUUUGCCUCCAAUAGCACAGGCACCUGCGUCUCAGAUGGUGGUGACAUCUGAGUACUUGGACUUCAUCAGCUGCCUGUAGGAGGUGAGGUAGCAGGAGGUGAGGGCAAUACUCCCUUCAGCUUCAGCAGGUGAAAAGUGUGGUUCUCAAUGAAGUUGAGCUAGUGUGUGCCAGGUCUCCUUCUACAGUGGGUACGCGUCAUACAGGAUCCCAUCAAAGCGACCACCUGGCAGGGGAGCGCCACCUCCUUCCACAGGACUUUCAAGGGGAUGACCUUGUGUGGCUGCUGCUGGGUCCAGUCCUGGAGCAGCUGGAAGAUGCUGUCAUUGCACUCCAUGAUCCAGUGUUCCUGGAUGGCGACCUCCUGCACCUUCCAUAUUCUUGUGGCCAUGCCGAAGCCCACCUCUAAGACUCGGCCCCCUUUGGAGGUGGUGAAGGCAGCGAAGGGGGUUGCAGUAGGGGCGCUCUUGCUGCAGAUGGAGCCCCAACUUGGAACCCGACGUGCCAGGGCCCAGUCCCUGCAGCCAUCUCACUUUUCACAUACCUCAUUUCUGCUUGCCAAACCCACCCAGCCACUUAAUAAGGAAGCAGAGAGUAUGGGAUAGAGAAAUUGUGGGAAUAGUGGCCCAGCCAGAUGUUCAUUGCUCCACUGGGACUCUGAUAGGAGGCUUGGCCUUCAAGCUCUGCAGUUUCCUGUCUGGCACCCUGGCAGCUGGGCUCAAGUCUAAAAUGUGCAGAAGUGUUUUAUAGAUAAAUAGAACAUUCCAAAGAGAUGGCCUCAUCAGCAGUGAGACAUCUUAGGGAAGGAGACACCACAGUAUUAAAGAGAAUUACCUCAAUGGCAGUGCCUGUGAGCUGGCUUGAGCCACCUUCUUUACCUCUGAGCUUUCUGCCUUCUGAAGCCCUUUUUGCUCUUUCUGUUCAGAUGAGAGGCAUUAUGGUUCCUAUUUGGGUAACAUUAGGGAGGUGGUCAAAGCCCCCAGUAUAGCCCAUUCCUGUAGUCCUAAUCCAAGAUGGUCAUCACUGAUAGUAGGAUUCUCCUCUCCCCAUUUCAGUCACAGGAAAUGGGGUGGUGACCAAACAAGCUCAAGUGAUAAACUGCUGGUGAUAUGUAUAUAUGUUUGUUGUUUUCUCCACCUCUGAGGUGCUGGGUUGCCUGAUACCAAAGUGUUCCAGUUUGUGUACUAAAGUUGUUUUUCUGGCAGCCUGAGACUUCGCUUUUUAAAAAAUGCAGCAAUUGGUUGAUUUUUGUUGUUCCUGAAGGACCCAUCACACUACCCACGGUAUCUGAGUUUCAAGUCUAGCAUGGCUUGGGUAAUCUGUGAUUGUACCUGUUUCUUCCUGGGAUUCUGCACAUAGCCAGGAGCAUCUCAUUGCUUCAUUCCGUGUUUUCUUGCAGUUAUGCCUGGGAUAUGCAGAUGGAAAUGCAUAUUUUAUUGUAAAUUUCAUUUUAUAUCUAGCUUAUAUUACCCUUAGGGCAUUAAGUGGGUCUUUUAAACUUAUGUCUGUUAAGUAGGUUGUCUGUGACUUGACGUCGGGCAGUAAAGGUAGAUGCUAAGCAAGUAUUUAUUAUCAAAAGGAAAUGUUGAGUCAACAUUAAGGGUGAGAACUGCUCUUCGUGGUUAAGGAUAAAACCAAGAAGGAAAGAAGUGAUGGGAAUGCAGAGACAGGAGGCAGCCCAGCUCUUCUUGGGGUUGUUUACGCCCAUCCUUGCGUUGGUCUGCGGCGUUUCCCCAGCAGACACCACUGUGGGCUACUCUAAUGACUUCUCUUUCCUCCUCGAACAACUUCUGGAGAAGUCGCACCGUUGCAGAGUGGUGCCGCUACACAUUGAUCAUCUAACCUUACCUGGGUCCUCAGCUAUAGGGCCGUCUGUCUCGAGUCAGCUGUCACUUAAAAGUUUCACCAUUUUCUCUGGUUUGACUUGCUGAAAAAAAAAAAAGAAACAUUAAAAAAUUUCACUAUUUUCUUAAAA